rnacentral:rRNA from 1 species
GUCUAUGCUAAGUGGUGAACGAGGUGAGAUUACUUAAACAACCAGGAGGUUGGCUUAGAAGCAGCCACCCUUUAAAAAGUGCGUAACAGCUUACUGGUCUAGUGAUUUUGCGCGGAAAACUUAACGGGGCUAAGCAUAGCACCGAAGCCAUGGGUCUCAGCGCAAGCUGGGGCAGUAGGGGAGCGUUCUGUCAGCGGUGAAGGUCGAUCGUAAGGGCGACUGGAGCGGACAGAAGUGAGAAUGCAGGCAUGAGUAGCGUACAAAUACGUGAGAACCGUAUUCGCCGUAUAUCUAAGGUUUCCGACGCCAGGUCAUUCCGCGUCGGGUUAGUCGAGUCCUUAGUCGAGGCCGAGAGGCGUAGAUGAUGGACAUCCGGUUAAUAUUCCGGAACCGCUUGAAAGUGCGAUGGGAGGACGCAACGAGGUAGGCCAGCCCAUUAUUGGAUUGGGUUCGAUCCAUCUAGGCGUUGAGACUGGUAGGCAAAUCCGCCAGUUGAGCUGAGGUGAGAGCACACCGCAAGG